UACGGAGGGUGCGAGCGUUAAUCGGAAUUACUGGGCGUAAAGCGCGCGUAGGCGGCUUUGCAAGUCGGGUGUGAAAUCCCCAGGCUUAACCUGGGAACUGCAUUCGAGACUGCAUUGCUAGAGUAUGGGAGAGGGAAGUGGAAUUUACGGUGUAGCGGUGAAAUGCGUAGAUAUCGGAAGGAACAUCAGUGGCGAAAGCGACUUCCUGGACAAAUACUGACGCUCAUGUGCGAAAGCGUGGGGAGCAAACAGG
rnacentral:rRNA from 1 species